rnacentral:rRNA from 1 species
UACGUAGGCAGCAAGCGUUGUCCGGAUUUACUGGGCGUAAAGAGCGCGCAGGCGGUCGUUCAAGUCGCGUGUGAAAGCCCCCGGCUCAACUGGGGAGGGUCACGCGAUACUGAUCGACUCGAAGGCAGGAGAGGGUCGCGGAAUUCCCGGUGUAGCAGUGAAAUGCGUAGAUAUCGGGAGGAACACCUAUGGCGAAAGCAGCUGCCUGGGCCUUACUGACGCUAGACUCGAAAGCUA